rnacentral:lncRNA from 1 species
UUUAUUUUAAAAAAAAAAAACACUGCGUGCACUACAAUUCUAAGAUGGAGAGAGAAUUAAGGUGUUUGUCACUGGUAUUUAGGAGAUGAUUUUCACUUUCAACUGAUGUCCAGCUUUGUGGGUUGCUUAAAAUGUGAUGCCACUGUCAUCUCCAGAAAGUCAAUGUAUGUAGAAAUGCUUUAACACCCAACAUCCACAUGUUCAUGAGCACAUUCACUUGAAUCUCAGCACCCAUCUGUACACAAGAUGUUAAGGGAGCACUGAAGGGAGUUGGUAAAGGUUCCUUGUAGCUGAAGAAUGCACAGGAGCUGGCCAAGUGAAGAAGGGUAUGACACUUGUAUUAGUAAGAGAAAGCAGAUGAGCAGAAAGAGAGUUGUCCAGAACCAUGGAGCUCCAGAGAAGACCACCCCCACAAGCACACACUGCUGAUUGUCAGUUGUGCCCUUUAUGCCUGAUUGCAUCCAGUACCACCAAGCCCAGCCAG